UACGUAGGCAGCAAGCGUUGUUCGGAGUUACUGGGCGUAAAGGGUGUGUAGGCGGUUCUUUAAGUUUGGUGUGAAAUCUCCCGGCUCAACUGGGAGGGUGCGCCGAAUACUGAGGGACUAGAGUACGGGAGAGGAAAGUGGAAUUCCAGGUGUAGCGGUGAAAUGCGUAGAUAUCUGGAGGAACACCGGUGGCGAAGGCGGCGUUCUGGACUGCAACUGACACUGAAAAACGAAAGCCAGGGGAGCAAACGGG
rnacentral:rRNA from 1 species